AAAUGCACAGGCUGUGAACUCGAUGAGUAGGGCGGGACACGUGACAUCCUGUCUGAAUAUGGGGGGACCAUCCUCCAAGGCUAAAUACUCCUGACUGACCGAUAGUGAACCAGUACCGUGAGGGAAAGGCGAAAAGAACCCCGGCGAGGGGAGUGAAAUAGAACCUGAAACCGUGUACGUACAAGCAGUGGGAGCACCUUCGUGGUGUGACUGCGUACCUUUUGUAUAAUGGGUCAGCGACUUAUAUUUUGUAGCAAGGUUAACCGAAUAGGGGAGCCGUAGGGAAACCGAGUCUUAACUGGGCGUCUAGUUGCAAGGUAUAGACCCGAAACCCGGUGAUCUAGCCAUGGGCAGGUUGAAGGUUGGGUAACACUAACUGGAGGACCGAACCGACUAAUGUUGAAAAAUUAGCGGAUGACUUGUGGCUGGGGGUGAAAGGCCAAUCAAACCGGGAGAUAGCUGGUUCUCCCCGAAAGCUAUUUAGGUAGCGCCUCGUGAACUCAUCUUCGGGGGUAGAGCACUGUUUCGGCUAGGGGGCCAUCCCGGCUUACCAAACCGAUGCAAACUCCGAAUACCGAAGAAUGUUAUCACGGGAGACACACGGCGGGUGCUAACGUCCGUCGUGAAGAGGGAAACAACCCAGACCGCCAGCUAAGGUCCCAAAGUCAUGGUUAAGUGGGAAACGAUGUGGGAAGGCACAGACAGCCAGGAUGUUGGCUUAGAAGCAGCCAUCAUUUAAAGAAAGCGUAAUAGCUCACUGGUCGAGUCGGCCUGCGCGGAAGAUGUAACGGGGCUAAACCAUGCACCGAAGCUGCGGCAGCGACGUUUAGGCGUUGUUGGGUAGGGGAGCGUUCUGUAAGCCGUUGAAGGUGACCUGUGAGGGUUGCUGGAGGUA
rnacentral:rRNA from 1 species